GGUCUCUUUCUCUUUUUCAAAGUUUGUCGAGGAGAAGGAGAUCGAUGAUCCUUCCAAUCGGCAUGCCGAUCAUGCUGAAAACUAGCUCGAUGUGAGUGCCGAAUAAGUUGAGGAUCAGUAUGAUGAGAGUGUCGAGUUUGCUGAUGGGGUGGAGAAACGGCUCGUCGAUUGUGCCUAGACGGCACUGCCUGCGGUGUCGGUUCCUCCGACCGUUGCUGUUACUACCACUGCUCUGCAGUCUGCUGCAGACUGUGCAUAGCUUCUAUAAGGAUUUUCACCUGCUGCAUCA
rnacentral:lncRNA from 1 species